UCUGCCGCGAGAAAGACUUACAAAGUUGUC
rnacentral:piRNA from 1 species